UACGGGGGGAGCAAGCGUUGUUCGGAUUUACUGGGCGUAAAGGGCGCGUAGGCGGCGGGUCAAGUCGAGUGUGAAAGCCCCGGGCUCAACCUGGGAGGUGCGCUCGAGACUGGUCUGCUUGAGUUCGGGAGAGGAGAGUGGAAUUCCCAGUGUAGAGGUGAAAUUCGUAGAUAUUGGGAAGAACACCGGUGGCGAAGGCGGCUCUCUGGACCGAGACUGACGCUGAGGCGCGAAAGCGUGGGGAGCAAACAGG
rnacentral:rRNA from 1 species